AUGUAAGGGUUGGCAGUGGAGGUGAGGGUAUCUCAUCUGGAGAUCCCUACCUACCUGGGGCUUUUCAAAGCACUUUGACGAGCAGCAGAGGUCACUUAUAGAUGUUACUGGCCUCGUUUCUCACUGCUUCUUCCACUACCGAAGAAAACAUCGCACCGUACCAAAUAUAAGCAAUUUCAUCGGCAUUUCCCACAGCUGUAAUAACCCUCAGCACCACUGGGUGGUAGUCGCUUUCUUCAGGUGGAGAGCAGAGCCGAGCUGAGGGACUUAGAGCCGGGGACUCCGCCAGAGGCCCUCCUCGGCGCUCCGCACCUCAUACGAACCGCAGGCUUUGUGGGAUCCGUGCUUUGCCGCAGUCUCAACUCGUUCAGAGGGCUGUGAGUCUACUACUAAGGCAAAGAGCAACGCUUUCAGUUACUCUAUCUGUGCUGAGUCUGGACAGUCCGCUCCGUGGCACCUGCAGGCAGGUGGUGUCAGUGUACGUUCAUGAGCAGAAACACUGGUUGUGUUGUGGCAGCGUUAGCAACAGCAUCUCUUUGCUUCUAAACUGGAGAAAUAUGGUAUAGAGUGACUGGAGAUAGCUAAACGUGAGAGCAAUGCGCAUCCUUCUAAGCCCUCUAAAACAUGCCAGUGAAUCUUAGUGCAGCCUGUAAGGGAAUGCCGAGUGCUGUCAGCACUAAAGUGUCACAUUAAGUCUUAAAAGCUACAGGAGAUGUGUUGAGAUCACCUUCAGUUCUCUCACACUGCUGGGGUGCUGAGCACGUUCCGGCAGCCUGACCAUGCUGUGACUCAAGCAAGGGGCAUAUUUUUUAUGCUGCAGUUCAAGAUUGGCCCAAAGAGGUUUUUAGGCCCCCUCCGCCAGGCCUGGGGUCAGCAGCUCCCUCCCUGUGAGCUGGCAGUAGAACUGGAGCUGGGGGUGUUCCAGUACAUUGACUUCUGUGCAUCUGUGUGACUUGGCUUCUGUGCCAUCCCCCCCUCUGCACACACUCUCUGUGAAAAGGGCUGUAAUUAACGAUGCUCCGUGCUCUGUGGAUAUCUUUAUUUAAUUAGCGUUGUUAAAAUAGAUGGCAAAAACCCGUCCCUCCUCUCCUUUCAUGCGCAGAAAGGGUCCCACAGGCAGCAGAACCAGCAUCUUCCUGGGAAGCAAACUUUUAUGACAUGAGGCAGGAAUCGUGCAUUCCUCGAACACCACAGAUGGUCUCUGCAGAGCCCGUGUGUGAAUGCAGGCAGAAGCAAGAGCAUGAAUGCCAUAAAGCUGUUGCUCCUCUUGCUGAGCUAGGUCUAGUGUGCUGUUGAUUUCUUUCAGCCCCGUUGCUGGAUUACUACUGUAUUGAACAAGGAUUGUUUGUUCCCUUAUUUUUUUUUUUUCCCUCAUUACAUUCAUUUCCGAAUCAUAACGUUAGUCUGGACAAUGUAUGGAGCUGUCGUUGUCAAGGGUCCAAUUAGCCUGGCAGCAGGAGACCUAUCAUUCAAAGUAAUGAGAAAGAGGUAACUCUGGGGCACGUUUUAAGAUUUAAGUGAUCUUAAAACGUGAUCUUACACACAAACAUCUCUCACUUCUCAGGAAUGGAGGUUUCAGUACUGUAUUGUUGUCACCCAUUUGCUUGGUACCUGACUAAAGUAACUUACCUGCAAGCAUUUAACUACUGGAGCUGAAUGCUUUAUUACCUUUGUUUCAUUUACAUUAAACUGAUCUUCUCUAAGAGCCAUAUAUCACUCCCUGGUUAAAAGUACUGGUUCUGCUCCAGCACAUCGAGGCAUUCUAUUCUGUAACACAGUUGUACAAUACAAGGAAAUGAGAGGGGGGACGUCUCCAUCUGGCAGAUGAUCCUCAGAAGUGGAAAAGAAGAUGUGCAGGCUUAUGCUAUUAAACUUUUUGAGCUCAAAUGGAAUCCAGCUGUGUAGGAUCCACAGCAUUCUUGCAGUUUAACUACUCGCAGGAUGUAUAUUUUCAAUCCCUUUAUUUUUGUUUUCUUUAAUUGUUGGGGCCUGAGAUCAUAAACGCCUCAGUUUUUCAAGAAUGAAGUGCAGCUCUUGGUAAUUUGUUCUAAUCAACUGCCAUAAGAAAUGUCUGCUCCGUAACCUUGAAUGCUUUUUCUCUCCCCUAACAACAGAAUAUACUUACUGCAAAAAAUAAACAUCUGGUUUGAAU
ensembl:lncRNA